AAUUAUGACUGUGGUAAUAAUUAUCCCUUCUACUGUUAUACACAUUUGAUUUUGGUAAAUGAGAAUAAGACAUGGGAGGAGGCUCUUCAGUUCUGCACCACAAACUACACCGGCUUGGCUCAUCUACCUGAUGCCAAUCAAGAACUUCAGGCACAAACAGAGAUUGCACUGACCCAAACUGUCAAUGUGUGGACUGGCUUGCGGUUUAUUGAUGGAAAUUGGUUCUGGCUGACUGGAGUGGCAACGAACUUGAAUAUCCUACCACCAUGUCCAGCUCAGCCUUAUACCUGUGGAGCUUUCAACUCCAUAGCAAAAGCCUGGGAGAACCGAGACUGCAAUGAGAAGCUGAAUUUCCUCUGCUACAAGUAAAGGCUACAGCCCUGCAUUACAUAUUAUUUUCCACUGAAAGAAGAAAUCUCCUGUAGGAGGAUUACAUGUAGCUACAUUUACUUUUAGUGACAUUAUCAUAUGAUUGACUUUGCUUAUACAUAGAUAAUUGGUAAAGUAUUAAAAAUUGAGGGGAGAAAUAA